UACGUAGGGUGCGAGCGUUGUCCGGAAUUAUUGGGCGUAAAGGGCUCGUAGGCGGUUUGUCGCGUCGGGAGUGAAAACCUCGGGCUUAACUCGGGGCUUGCUUUCGAUACGGGCAGACUAGAGGUAUGCAGGGGAGAACGGAAUUCCUGGUGUAGCGGUGAAAUGCGCAGAUAUCAGGAGGAACGCCGGUGGCGAAGGCGGUUCUCUGGGCAUUAACUGACGCUGAGGAGCGAAAGCAUGGGGAGCGAACAGG
rnacentral:rRNA from 1 species